UGGCUCAGGAUGAACGCUAGCGGCAGGCUUAAUACAUGCAAGUCGAGGGGCAACAGGGGUAGCAAUACCUGCUGGCGACCGGCAAACGGGUGCGGAACACGUACAGAACCUUCCUCUGAGUGGGAGAUAGCCCGGAGAAAUCCGGAUUAAUACCCCAUAGUAUUGUUGUGUGGCAUCACAUAAUAAUUAAAGAUUUAUUGCUCAGAGAUGGCUGUGCGGCUGAUUAGGUAGUUGGCGGGGUAAAGGCCCACCAAGCCAUCGAUCAGUAACUGGUGUGAGAGCACGACCAGUCACACGGGCACUGAGACACGGGCCCGACUCCUACGGGAGGCAGCAGUAAGGAAUAUUGGUCAAUGGAGGCAACUCUGAACCAGCCAUGCCGCGUGAAGGAUGAAGGUCCUCUGGAUUGUAAACUUCUUUUAUGUGGGAAGAAACCGAUACAUUCUUGUGUCGUUGACGGUACCAUAGGAAUAAGCACCGGCUAACUCCGUGCCAGCAGCCGCGGUAAUACGGAGGGUGCAAGCGUUAUCCGGAUUCACUGGGUUUAAAGGGUGCGUAGGUGGGAAUGUAAGUCAGUGGUGAAAUCUCCGUGCUUAACACGGAAACUGCCAUUGAUACUAUGUUUCUUGAAUUUUCUGGAGGUUAGCGGAAUAUGUCAUGUAGCGGUGAAAUGCUUAGAUAUGACAUAGAACACCAAUUGCGAAGGCAGCUAACUACAGGGAUAUUGACACUGAGGCACGAAAGCGUGGGGAUCAAACAGGAUUAGAUACCCUGGUAGUCCACGCCCUAAACGAUGGAUACUCGACAUUUGUGAUAGACAAUAAGUGUCUGAGCGAAAGCAUUAAGUAUCCCACCUGGGAAGUACGACCGCAAGGUUGAAACUCAAAGGAAUUGGCGGGGGUCCGCACAAGCGGUGGAGC
rnacentral:rRNA from 1 species